CCCUUUCCUUGAGGAAAAACAGCUGCCACUCUCCUGGUGAAGCGCAUUCAACAGUUCAGGGAAAAGUGGAGGAACACAAGCAAGAGAUGCUGAUUUGUCCCGUUUACAGUAGAGAAGUCGCAGAAAAGGACACACGAGGCUUAAAUACGUUAUUGUGUUGUCCCUAAAUGAAUCCAUGCACAGGUUUACACGAAGAGGCCAGAGAGGGAAGUGAGGGGGGAGAGCCUCCACAGCCAGACCAGUUCCACCAUCUUAGACUAUUGAUUAUUCUUUGCUGUAGCGUCUCUCUCUCUCUCUCUCUCUCUCUCUCUGACGCUAGCUCUCUUUCUCCCUUCCGUCCCUCCCUCCCUCCCUCUUUCUGCUUGUGUUCUGCCACCUUCUCUGCUCGGUGAUCAGCGUUUGGCUUUUUCCAUUUGUGGCAGAUUACUGUAACGCUAUUGUACAACAACUUCCUGCCCUUUUUGGCUGCGCUUCUGAAAGCUGCAUGGGCAGAGCUCGCGGCUUCAACUUUUUACCCUCGGCCCUGAACUGCAGGACCUCACUGAGGAAAGGAAAAGAGGAAAGGGAGAUGUGAGAUGUGUCUGUUGCUGUGGAACUAUUUUGGUUGCAUUGCUGCUUGUGCACUAACGCUGAGAGUUAAUGAUGGGCAUGAGGGGACUGCGAGACAAUGACAGAAAAAGGACUCUGACAGAAGAAGAGGUGGAGAAUAGACAGACAGUGAGAGAAAAAGCAAGUGAGAGCUUCUCCUGGGAACAAGCUGGAAAUUAUGGACCUAUUCGAUAUCAGAGCUCGGAGUGGACAACCUAUCCAAAGAGGGACGCACCCUAACUGUAACCAACAGCUACUUCUGGCAGCCCCUCAGCAGCCAAACAUAUUGUCCUGGAUCAGGGCAGCUUUUGUAAGGCAGCAUCGAACUAGGGCAGCUUAGGCAAAGAAUUCACAGCGAACUACGUUAAUCAUAAAAUUUAAAUAUAGAUAAAAAAAGGUUCAAAUGCAAAUACUUUUUUUUUCCAAAUUCAGAUCGAGCAGCUCUGAACCCUUCUUUUCUUUUAGACACGUUAGAUAACGUGAUAACAUACCAGAGAGCUUCUUUUAAAUUAAUUAUGUCGAGCUGUGUAAAUGUUCCAACAUAUUUUUAUUCAUCCUGUUAUAUUAUAAAGCAAAGUCAAACACUGGAGAAAUCUGCCUACGCCUUCUACUCUCAUAAAAGAUUUUACCUGAGGCUUCAACAAAGUGAAAAACACAUUUUAGCAAGAGGUGUGUAAUAAACUAAUGCAUGAAAUUAGAUUACAUUUAUUACAGGAUCUAAAACAAUUCAUCAAAGGACCUAUUUUAAUUAUAUCAGCUGAGUAAUCUGGGAAUUAUCUAUUUAAUAAAAAAGAAACAAUUAUUAUUACUGUAUGAGUGUUUACUAAAUUGAACUGUGAAUAAAUCGAGUCACCUCAUGUUCAAGGACAAAUUCUUAGAAGUCAGUUAAGCAUAAUGAUAAAAAACUGAAUCCAGCUUUCUGUCUUCCUCAUCGGUCUGCACUGGGCUUGCACAUACCUGAACUCCCCGUUUGCAGCUCUCCCCUGAGGGCUCCUUAUGCCUGCUUUUAAGAGCCCUGGUCAUUUCGUUUUAUUCUCACCCAACACUAAGCCAGGAGAGCGCAGGCCUGGCAUUUCAGGGGCCACGUCACAAUGCCUGCGUCUGCGCUGCAGGGCUGCACCGAGCCCUGCAGCCGAGCCACGCUCACUCAACAAGCACUGUGUGUGCUGGUCUGUUAUCUUACACACUCUCUCCUCGCAUCCUCCAUCCAGGAUGUUAAAACAUGCAACUAAUACACUUCAUCCAUUUCAUAAACACACUCUCCUGGUGCCUGCAACCGAGCCUUCGGCCCCUGAGUCACGUCACAGCACAUUCUCUCGUCCGGCUGCCACAGAAAACUUUGCCUAGUCACAAAAUAGCUUUGAUGAAAAACAAGUGAGUGAAGAAAAAUUGUAGACUUAGUCCAAGUCCCAUUUAAUGAGCCUGAUGAUUGCUUCUAACUUUCUGCACAUUUAAAAAAGCCCUUAAGCAGAAAUUGAUCCUGAGUUGGAAGUGACAAGAAUAAAAACACUGAUUAAGUAGAGUCCACUUGUGCAGACAUACUGUAAUUGAUGUGCAUAAUGUUAUUAGCAGGAGGACUUGCAUCCAUGUGGGAGAAAAGGAGUGUUUCACUGGACAGCUGCAUAAACAGAGGUUUUAUUACUGCAUGUGCUAGUUCUGCAAAUUUAGAGACACUUUCAAUUGCAGUAAAAUAUUUUUUUAGGGAGAGCAAAAUGAUGCAACUUAAAUUUGGCAGCAAACUGGUCUAGCACCAGCAUCAUGUUUAUUUAUUUUAUUUAUUAUGAAUUUUAUUCCUGAAGUUAACAAUUUAGUUUGCACAAACUGAUGAGUUGUUUCUUUUUACAGUUGGUUCACUGUUUUUGCACAGCACAGUUAUGUGGAACAUUAUUUCCUUUCAAUUGUUUAAAAUUAGUUUUUGGUUUUUUACACUAUUUUAAAAAGUACUCCUCAUCAAUGCUCUUCAGAAUUAUAAAUAUUAUUACUAUUAUACGAUGGAGCUUUGUUCCAUUAUUAUACGUUAGUAGGAACGAGUAGAAGGACUAUGGUGCUAAAGAUUAUGGUUACGAAUAAAUAAAUAUAUUUGUGUAUUUGUAAACAUUAUUAAUGCUAAAUUUUGCCGAUUACAGUCUCAGCUCAGUUUAGAUGAAGCAUGCUGAGGAGAUGAGGGUUAAUAUUUGCAGCUCCACCCACUGUCAUCAUCAUCAUUAGGCCAAAGGUGUAGACAACACAUGGGAAGCAGCGAUACGACAGCCUACGACCUCUCACCAGCUUGGAGAGGCAGAGGGUCACACAGAGGACAUGGCGGUACAGGGAGAAGUCAAUCUUAUCCUUCCGUUGCACCACAGGCCUGUGUGCAGUGGCAGCAAGAUGAGUUACAGGGUUUUCCAAAAUCCACACUCAUUUGGCUGGAAGCGAGGCAUCAGGGCCGUGUGUGUUUCAAAGGAAGCGCUGAGGAAAGCGUUUUUUGUGGCAGCACCCGUGCACUUGACAGCGUGUGUUAGGCUGUCUCUCCGUCUUUACUCCGUCCCUACACCGACUCAAUCUCCCUCAAAACCAAUAUCCGUCAUCUCUAAUAGCCCCAAACCGCCUGUGGCCUGUUGGUGUCACAACGGGGAAGAAUUCUACCUUGUCUUGUCCUGAUAUUUAUCUGUACACACAGUGUUUGUCAUCCUUUCUGAAUGGUACACAUUAUUCUGGCUUAGAGGCUCAGAAAGCAAGCAGCACCAAACGAUGAGACAUCAGCUACUGAACCGCUGGCAACUGAGCUCAGGACUAGGAGGGCGAUAACCUGGCACAAGACCAGCCACUAAUGCCCCUUAAAUGUCAGAGACUGCAGUAAGGACGGGUGACUGCAAAUACAAGAGCACAUCCAUAUUUCAAUAUGGCAAACGCUAUAAUGUGUUAAAGCAUCCCAGCAGGAGAAAGAGAGGACUGAUGGAAGCAGCUCCAACGCGUGGUUGUCGCUAUUCUGCCGAGUUCAGAGCGGAUCGGUCUCUGUCUCUCCCUCUCCCUCUCUCGCUCCCUCUCCGCAGACGUAAAUCUACUGGGGUGGAGGUCCAAGGGGGGACGGGGUUGAGUCUGGUGUUGGGGGUGGGGUUGGAUUGCUGAAGAGAGUGAUCUUUUUUUCCAGCGGGGUGAAAGGCGGACGGUCAUGUGUGCAGACCUCAUGACAAAAGGCCCUUUUAUGUGCAGCGUAUGCAGAUAGAGGAGGCUCCUUUGUGCACAGAUGGAGAUCCCAUGCCUGGGUCUGCCUGCGGCGGAGAGGGAAGGGAGGGAGGAGAGAGGAGUGUUGGUGAAGGGAAGGGAGGGGUGUCUCUGGCACUGAGUGCCAUCACUGUGUCUGGUGGGGGAGGGGUCACAGAGAAGGAGAACCAAGCCACCCUGAUCCUACCAAAUUCACACAAUAGGGAGGAGGGGCCAGAAGAAAGGAUACAGAGUGGGAUCACAGAUCGAGCCCCAUCUACUGUCUAUGAAGUGGACCAGAGCCUCACGUUUUACUUAUUAAUCAUGUUCAGCGUUUGCGCUAACACACUUUACUAGAAACAGACAAUGUGGACCAGAAACUCGAGACAAUAAAGGAAAUUGUGUUAAACCAGAUAUUAGGGAUUAGGCCUGUUUUUAAUAAUCCCAUGCACAGAAACAUCACUUAUCACACAUUUACUCUAUAUCACUGGACCCGUGUAUUCACUCAUAAAUGCCUGUGCUGCAACCUGCUGCUGAUUAGAGUCUCAGUGGAAGGUCCUGGUGCCACCGCUCCACUGAGGGCGAGGGACCUCCCACUGACACCCCGUCUGUUGAGAAGACGUCACAUCCUUUAAACAGCCUCCUCCCACUGACCAGGACGAGUUAGCGCUCAAGGCCAGGCAGAUUCCUGUCCUGUCAGAGCACCGAGUCACCGGCGGACAGAUGGACAACGCCCCCCGCAGUAACAACUACGUUAACCCCUUCCCUUAAGGUUGGAGCUGCUCAGACGCUUCCUUCAAGCUGAAGGUUCUGGAGGCCAAACACAGGGAAACGGUUAUUAUAGGGACAGUUAGUUAUGUCUAGUCAGACCAAAAUGUAGCUUUUUGGCCCUCACACAGACGCUGUGCUUGGUGAUAACCAAACACUGAGCACACACAAACAAACCAUCCCCACCGUGAGCACGGUGGUAGCAGCAUCAUGCUGUGGGGCUGCGUCUUGGCAGCGGGCUCUGGAAGGAUUCUGCAGGAUGAGGGUAGAAUGAAAUAAAAAAAAAAAAAGAAAGUAAUAAAAAUCUGGAAAAAAUACUGAUGCAGUCUGCAAGAGAACCGCAACCUGGGGAAACAUUUGAUAUGCAGCUAGACAAUAACACAGAGCAUCCAGCCAAAACUACACACAGUUGGUGCUAAAGCAAACUCUUAAUGUUCUUCACUUGCUGAGUCGGAGCCUAGAUUUCAAUCCAAGUGAGAUUCUAUGGUUAGACAUGAAAAGAGCCUUUCAUUCAUGAUCCCCUGACAAAACCUGAGCUGUCCGAUUUACUGUCCAGAUGUGUAAAGCUGAGCAGGAUCUAGCAGCCGGGGUCCAUGAUGUCACUGCCUCCAAAAACGCAUCUACUAAAUUAAAAUUUGAAAGCCCUCAAUAUGAAUAUGUCACAAACACGGCAGCAGACAGGUUAGACCCUCGAGCAAGAAAAGUCAGGUGAGAAGUCAAGUUGGUUUCCAAGGACUUAAUAAGUACAGGAGUAGACGAGCUAGAGGUCGGGAAAGCUGAGCAACUAGAACAUCGCACCCACAGAACAUCAACAUACAAUAAACCCCCAUCGCCUCUGGUGGCGUUACAAACAUUAUAAUGAGUUCACUACAACUAUCCAUACUGCUGCGUAAACCAAGCUAGCUGGUUUUUUCAUCUCUUUAUGCCUCCUAGUGGUCAGGGUGUAGACAGACGUUUAACUACAGUUCUAAUGAUAGCUCUGAUGAUUAUCAUGAUUAUAUCAAAGUAUUAGUAAGCAAUCAAAGUGCUGCUUCCUGUGCAACUGGAGGUACUAACAGGAUACAGUCUCCUCUAAUUUACGUAAAACUUACAGUAACGAUGUUACAACCACUGCAAGGACCGAUUCUGAUUUUAUGCUAACAGAAAUGCGCUUUCUCGGUCUCUCUCUCAAACUCAAGCGACCAAGCCGAUAGUGAGCCUAACAAGGUACACUUAGGCUAAUUAAAGCGAUUAGGCCUCUUUGUCUGCUGCUUCGGCCCAACCAGCGCUAAGCCCGCCUGCAGUCUGCCUGCAAGGAGACAGGAUUGAAAGACUGAGCGGCGACGGGAAGGCGAACACGCCGAUCGCUAUAGCUAUGAGACAUGUAUCAGUCGUAUAUUUCUUGGAUCUGUUGAGUGUAUCACUGAUUCCAAACACACUACAUUUUGGUAAAAAGAGUCAGAGACUGAGUGAAAGGAACAGAGACAAGAUGGUGAUGAAGAUGGCGAUGAAGAGGAAAACUCUCUUUGGCAUGCUCCAUAUCCGCUUGUCUCAAUUGGCCUGUAAAAUCUUCGAGACUGGAACAAAUGCAAAAAGCGCUGACUUGCUUGCACCAAAAAAUCCUGAAGGCUUUUCAAAUGAGCUCACUCUCACAAUGGUGGGGUGCCCAGAGCAGGGUGAAUGUAGGUCUGGGAUCUGAAUGGCACAAUGUGUGAGAGCCAAACAGGGGAGCGGUGAAGUGAAGGCUCAGGACCCUCCAGGCUGCCUACCACCGUGUGGAGCUGAGCUUCGGCUCCCCUGACCACUAACACCACUACAGCCGAAGCCACGCCGCCUUUUACUGCAGGCCUGUGCCUCAUCACAAUGGAACUCUACUGAAAAACUGAAUGUUGCUAAGCAUCAAAUAAUCUAACCUCAGGCUGCUUUAUUGAUAAGAUUAGAUUUUCUACAUACGAGGACUUACACGAGCCUACAUUU